GGGAAAGUUGCAAAGCACUUUGAAGAGAGAGUUAAAGAGGACGUGAAACCGGUAAGGUGGAAACGGAUAGAGUCGGCGUAUCAUUCAAUUAUUCAGUUACAUUAUUUUUAUGUUGUGACCUCUGAGCUCCAGAUUGGGACAGAGGGAAUCAGCAUAAUUUUUUGUGGUGCAUUUACUUGAUUGGUGCUUGGGGAUGUUUGAGGCAGAUUUGUUUCCGUCGUUUUGAGGCCAGCUUGCUGGUACCCAAACGGUGUUAGCAUUUUUUGUCUUGGGCAUUUGAGUAUGGCUCACGUGUAUUUAUUGGACAGAUCUGAGUGUAAGUUACGGUCGCAUGCGACACGUGCUUUUCAAUUAGUUCGGUCCAGUUAAUGCUCUCGUACUCGUUCCCCAUGUAAAAGCCGGUCAUCUAUCCGACCCGUCUUGAAACACGGACCAAGGAGUUUAUCGUGUGCGCAAGUUUUUGGGUGUUAAAAACUUAAAAGCGAAAUGAAAGUAAAUGACUCUUUAGAGUCUGAUGUGCGAUCUUGUAAAAAAGUGUAGCAUGGCCCCAUUCUAACUGUUUACAGUAGGGUGGCGGAAGAGCGUACGCGGUGAGACCCGAAAGAUGGUGAACUAUUCCUGAGCAGGACGAAGCCAGAGGAAACUCUGGUGGAAGUCCGAAGCGGUUCUGACGUGCAAAUCGAUCGUCUGACUUGGGUAUAGGGGCGAAAGACU
rnacentral:rRNA from 1 species